rnacentral:rRNA from 1 species
GUAUGCAACCUACCAACAUAGAGGGGAAUAGCCCGAAAAAAUUCGGAUUAAUGCUCCAUGGUUUAUCGAUAUGGCAUCGUAUUGAUAAUAAAGAUUUAUCGGUAUAAGAUGGGCAUGCGUAUCAUUAGCUAGUUGGUGUGGUAACGGCAUACCAAGGCAACGAUAAUUAGGGGUCCUGAGAGGGAAAUCCCCCACACUGGUACUGAAACACGGACCAGACUCCUACGGGAGGCAGCAGUGAGGAAUAUUGGUCAAUGGAGGCAACUCUAAACCAGCCAUGCCGCGUGCAGGAUGACGGUCCUAUGGAUUGUAAACUGCUUUUGUACAGGAAAAAACCUCUCUACGUGUAGAGACUUGACGGUACUGUAAGAAUAAGGAUCGGCUAACUCCGUGCCACCAGCCGCGGUAAUACGGAGGAUCCAAGCGUUAUCCGGAAUUAUUGGGUUUAAAGGGUUCGUAGGCGGCUUUGUAAGUCAGUGGUGAAAUUUCCUAGCUUAACUAGGACACUGCCAUUGAUACUGCAUAGCUUGAAUAAUAUGGAAGUAACUACAAAAUGUAGUGUAGCGGUGAAAUGCUUAGAUAUUACAUGGAAUACCAAUUGCGAAGGCAGGUUACUACCUAUUUAUUGACGCUAAUGAACGAAAGCGUGGGGAGCGAACAGGAGUAGAUACCCUGGGUAGUCCACGCCAUAAACAAUGGAUACGACCUGUCCUGGUUUUGUGAGUGAGUGGGCUAAGCAAAGUAAUAUUAUCACACCCUGGGAGU